CGCUGGUCCUAUUUUGUUGGUUUCUGGGACUGGAGUAAUGAUUAAUAGGGACGGUCGGGGGCGUUAAUAUUUAAUUGUCAGAGGUGAAAUUCUUGGAUUUAUGAAAGAUUAACUUCAGCGAAAGCAUCCGUCAAGGACGUUUUCAUUAAUCAAGAACGAAAGUUAGGGGAUCGAAGACGAUCAGAUACCGUCGUAGUCUUAACCAUAAACGAUGCCGACCAGGGAUCCGGGAACGUUACAAGCAUGACUUCCUGGGCACCUUACGAGAAAUCACAAGUCUUUGGGUUCCGGGGGGAGUAUGGUCGCAAGGCUGAAACUUAAAGGAAUUGACGGAAGGGCACCACCAGGAGUGGAACCUGCGGCUUAAUUUGACUCAACACGGGGAAACUC
rnacentral:rRNA from 1 species